CGAAGCCGAAGCCGAAGCCCAAGCCCAAGCCCAGGUCCAGGGCCAAGCCUAGGGCGACGCCCAGCCCCGUCUCCCUGCUCUCCGGCAUCUCCUCUCCUUACGCGUGCCGCACGCCGUCCCCUGCUGCCGCCGACCUCAGCUUCCUCUCGCCCUCCUCCCCGCCCGCGGAACCCGGAACCAGGAAUUCUUCGCCCCUCGCCGCCCCCACUACCAUGUCCACCAUCGGAGACCUGAGGAGCCUCGCCGCGUCGCACCUCGACUCCCUGAAGCGCCGCUUGGACGCGCUCCACGGCGACUAUGUCCGCGACCUUGAGGCCUCCCACUCCCGCAUCUCCAAGCGCGUCAAGAUGGAGUCCCAUGGCUGCCUGCAGCUAGCAGAGGAAGUGGACAAGGAACAGCAGAAGAUAGCCGACAAGAUCGCCGAGCGCGCCGAGCUGGUGAAGACCUCUUACAAGAAGUUCGUGGCUGAAGUGCAGGCGUCCACAUCCCGUGUGUGCAAGGUGACUGUCCCUGAGAUGACGAAGUCCAUGGAGAGGGCUAUUGAUGGCUUGCGCAGUCGCUACAUCUCCGCUAUACCAUCAGCUUAGCUGGUGCUGUUGUCCACAUCAAUUGAGGUCACAUGUUGAGUCUUAAAUCGGCUUCGCAGCAGGGACUUGCACAUUUGUACAUAAUAUCACCGUUGCAUGAGUACAUGAGAUAGUUCAUUGCUACAUCUCCAUUUCCAGAUAUCCCGAAAAGUCAAUAAUAGUUCCUUCGAUCCUUGGAACUUUUUUUUUUGCUUCGUCGCAUUUCUUGUGCAUCCCGUAAGAUGCUACUGUCGAUGUACCUUUCACGCUCAGAGCAUCUAAUUUUUAAUCAUGUUUGUUCUAGCAGUACGUUAGCUAUCGCCUCAAGCCUGAAUGGUCAGUUGCUGCAUGACAAUUAACAACCAAAACCCAGGUCUUGUUUUGUUCUAAGCGGUAAUUUCUGUUCAGUUUGUAGCUGCCAGUUGAUUUGCACUUUAUACUUGCGCCCGAAAACAGUUUAUGACUUCGGAUUAAACCCAUGAUUAAAACUAGCUGUUUGAAUUGCUGCAAACUAUGACACGUUAUGACAACACAACCUGUGUUUGCUGCUUGUUGGUUUUUCAUCAUCCAAUUCCAAUCCACGAUACACUGGAUAAAACCGGUUCAGAUUUCUUUUGAUUAAAACCCUUGUUUCGCACUCACUCUAUGCUAACAAUAACGGGUUCUCGAUUGAUAUGUCAUCUUUUAGCUACUCAGAUGUUUUAGUUUGCUAAGUUUGAAUAGUCUUUUGCUGUCAUGCUCAUGCUUGGUUCCGUCCGUCCGUCGAGGAAUUUGUCAAAAUAGGUCGUUCUAAACUGCCGCUCUGCAAAAUACGCCCGCGCUAGCUCAGGUCGUAAAAAUGGGUCGCUCAAGCGCUGUCACUCGCCAGGAGAGGUCACGGCAGCUUCUGGCGUACCUGGCAGGUGGGCCCCAGUACGCUUGUACCUAUUAUGCCCUUACGGUUUAACUCCAUGCCGUCUGUUCUUCUUCUCUGGACGCCGAGCACUCCUUCUCCUCCUCUGUCGGCGGUCGUGGGAGACGUACACGGCGAUUAGGAGGCACGUCGUCCACCAGUCUCCUCGCAGGGAUGUCGAAGAGCACGGAAAUCGCAGAUAAAGCAAUCAUCUUGAUGCAGGAUCAUGCCAAGCAUAUCUAUCGUAUUUGCAAUGAGAAGCUAAUAUUGGGUAAAGGAUUGACUGCAUUUGAGGUCAAAGAACUUCGUGAAGCACUUGAAUUCGCCGCCGAAGGAUUGGACCAGGACUCCCUUUUUUGCCAAGAGGAAUUGGAUGCAACUGUUAAGGAGGAACAAUUGGAGCAUGACGAGAAGGUGGCUUCACAGAUGAUUGAAAGCCCACUUCUUCUCCUGAUUCGGACUGCUUCCUAUCCCUUGAAGAGCACAUUGAGAAGUUUUGGGGCGUUGAUUACAACUCGGACCAGAUGCCUAGCUACUCCGACUAGGCUCAGAGUUUAUGGUGCUGUGAAAUUCUGGAUGUUUGGGUGUAAUGGUAUUUUGGAUGUGUAUGUGAACUGUAAUUCUGGAUGUGUGGAUGUAAUGGUGAACUGACUGAAUGGUGUCUUGUGUAAUGGUAUUUUGGAUGUCUAUGUGAACUCUAGUUCUGGGUUUAAUGGUGAACUGAAAUUCAGUGUUCAUUGUUC